GUCCCGCUGGUGCGCGGCGCACGCCUGCAAUUAAUUACCCAUUCAUCGAGCCACAUAUGCAUGCGCAGGAGGCCUCCGUUCGACUCGGAGGCGGGACA